UACGAAGGGGGCUAGCGUUGCUCGGAAUCACUGGGCGUAAAGGGUGCGUAGGCGGGUCUUUUAAGUCGGGGGUGAAAUCCUGGAGCUCAACUCCAGAACUGCCUCCGAAACUGGCGAUCUUGAGUUCGGGAGAGGUGAGUGGAACUGCGAGUGUAGAGGUGAAAUUCGUAGAUAUUCGCAAGAACACCAGUGGCGAAGGCGGCUCACUGGCCCGAUACUGACGCUGAGGUGCGAAAGCGUGGGGAGCAAACAGG
rnacentral:rRNA from 1 species